rnacentral:pre_miRNA from 1 species
AGUAAAAAUGCUGGUCUGUAUGGUAAUUGCAUAUUUAGCUUUAUAAGGAACUGCUAAAUUGUUUUCUAGAGUGACUGUACCAUUUUACAUUCCCAUUAGCAUU